rnacentral:lncRNA from 1 species
UAAAUUUAUCGCGUUUACGUGUUUUCAGAUGCAUAUCUUAUGUUUACAUUGAUCCUAAGAAUAGGAAUAAGUUUGAUCCUAAAUCUCAAAGGUGCACAUUCAUUGGGUAUGGGGCUGACAAUUUAGGGUAUCGAUUUUGGGAUGCUGAAAAUCAGAAAAUAAGAAAAAGCAUGGAUGUGGUAUUUAAUGAAUCUGUCAUGCAUAAUGAUAAACAAGAGAAAGACAAAUUUGAACCUGAAUUUGUGGAAUUUGAGGAGAUAUCUAGUAUGGAUGUCUUAAAAUCAAAUGAUGAUAGUACACAUAUAACACCAGAGUCAAAGCCACCGACUCCUUUCCUUGUAAGGAGGUCAAGUAGGGCACGUAGACCCCAUUGCAAUUCUCUACUUCAUUGCAUUAUUUGUUAUUGACUAAUAAUGGUGAACUAGAAUAUUAUGAGGAAGCUUUGCAGUAAGUUGAAACAAAGAAAAAAGGGAGCGAGCUAUGAAAGAUCAGAUGGGUUCACUUUUAACAAACCAAACUUGGGAUUUGGUCUUGCUACCAGAUGAUAAAAAGGCAUUGCACAACAAAUGGAUUUAUAGGUUGAAGGAAAAGCAUGACGGUACCAAGUGGUACACGGCUAGACUGGUAGUUAAGGGUUUGAACAAAAAACUAAGAUUGAUUACAUAGAAAUUUUCUCUCCUGUUGUUAAACUUACAAUAAUUAGGUCAAUUCUACAUAUUGUUGUUGUUAAGGAUUUACACUUUGAAUAGUUGGAUGUGAAAACAACUUUCCUCAACGAAGAUUUGGAGGAAGACAUCUGUGUGCAUCAAUUACAAGGUUACAGUGUUACUGAUAACGAGAACAUGGUAUGCAAGCUCAAGAAGAGCUUGUAUGGUCUGAAGCAAGUCCCUAGGUAGUGGUAUAAAAAGUUUGACGGUUUCAUGUCUAAGAAUAGUUGUUCUAAGUGUCAUGGAGACCAUUGUUGUUAUUUUUAGAAACUAAAAACUUCUUAUUUGAUACUUCUCUUGUAUGUAAAUGAUAUACUUAUUGCAAGUGAAAACAUGGAGGAGAUUUCAAAUCUCAAACAAAGUCUAUAGAAUUUGCUAUGAAGGAUUUAGGUGCUGCAAAACAAAUCCUUGAUUUAUGUGAAUCAGUAGAGACAGAGAAAAUAGGAAGCUAAGGCUAUCACAAGCUGACUAUGUGUCAAAUGUGCUUCAGUUCAACAUGGAAAGUGCAAAGCUAAUUAGUACCUCCCUAGCAAGUCAUUUCAGGCUUUCAAAGGAACAAGGCGUAGCAACACAAGAGGAGAAGGAAUUCAUGGCCAAAGUCCUUUAUGCCUUUGCUAUUAGAAAUUUGAUGUAUUCCAUGGUUUGUACAAGACCAGUUAUUGCUCAAGCAGUGAUAGUUGUUAGUGGAUUCAUGCAGAAUCCAGGAAAGGAGCAGUGAGAAGCAGUCAAGUGGAUUCUCAGUUAUCUGAAGGGUACAAAGGAUAUGGCAUUGUGCUACGUUGGAUCAAAAAAUUAUUUGCAUGGCUAUGUUAAUUCAGAUUUAGUAAGGGAUAUCGAUAAGAGGAAUAACACUACAGGUUAUGUAUUCACUAUGAGUAGUACAAGCAGUUAGUUGGGUUUCUCAUUUACAGAAAGUAAUGACUAUUUCUACAACCGAAGCAAAGUAUGUAGAUGUAACAGAAGCAUGCAAAGAGUUUAUAUGAGUAAAGGGUCUCAUGAAAGAAUUGGGGAAGGAACAAGAAGAUUGCAUAUUAUUCAGCAACUGUCGGAGUGCAAGUCACUUAGCAAAGAACUCAGUUUUUCAUUUGAGGAUGAAGCAUAUUGACAACAAGUGUCUUUCAUCCAAUCACUUCUACAAGAAGUUCAGCUUGGAUUGGAGAAAAUUUAUACAAAUGAGAACCCAACAAACAUGAUUGACAAAAGAAGUGACGAUUGAGAAACUGAAGAUAUGUGCAGCUUCAGUUAUUUCUGUCUUUUUGUACUUAUUAUGCUGAAACUCUAAUUUGUCUUUAUACAAGCGUGAGGCUGCCUUGUAACAUAGGACUCCCAAAAUAAUAUAUUUACAAACGCUACUCAGUACGGCCGUGGACGCAGGCGCAACUUGUUAAACCACAUAAAAUUGUUGUGUCUCUUGAAGUCCAGCCCACUUGGAUGAUUUCAAGCCCAGUAAUCAAACUCAAGUCCGUUGGGGCUCAUAUGGAGUGUUCAUGUGAGAGUAAAACUCUCGAAUUAUCUAGAACUCUUGAGAGGGAUUAUCUUUUAUAUUUCCUAGUUUAGAAUAAGAUAACAAUUAGGUAUCACACUGAAAGUCUAUCACCUUCUUCCCUUGAUCUAUAAAAGGGAAGGCAAGGUGUUGAGAUUUGAGUAGUGUGUUGUGGGCAGAAAGCAGUGUGCUGUGAGUUAAGAGUGAGAGGUAAGACAGAGAUAGAUUGUGAGAGAGAGUGAGUCUCCUCCUUUUGUAAUUCAUUCGUUCGAUUAGUGGAUUAUUAUUUUCUCUUCGUGGACGUAGGUAU